rnacentral:rRNA from 1 species
GUAGUCCACGCUGUAAACGCUGUCGAUUUGGGGAUUGGGCUUUGAGCUUGGUGCCCGUAGCUAACGUGAUAAAUCGACAGCCUGGGGAGUACGGCCGCAAGGUUAAAACUCAAAUGAAUUGACGGGGGCCCGCACAAGCGGUGGAGCAUGUGGUUUAAUUCGAUGCAACGCGAAGAACCUUACCUACUCUUGACAUCCAUGGAAUUCUGUAGAGAUACGGGAGUGCCUUCGGGAACCAUGAGACAGGUGCUGCAUGGCUGUCGUCAGCUCGUGUUGUGAAAUGUUGGGUUAAGUCCCGCAACGAGCGCAACCCUUAUCCUUUGUUGCCAGCGAUUCGGUCGGGAACUCAAAGGAGACUGCCAGUGAUAAACUGGA